GGAUGUUCACAGAGGGGGGACCGAGCUCCACACACUACUGUGCACACAGUGCUUUUGGCACUGUCCUAUGUUCCACCUGACAGGGGACACGGGCCUAAACCCAGCCUCCUUAAGGACAAGCCAGGUCCAGCAACCUCACUGCCCAUGGUAACUCCAGCAGGAACAGAGGCCUGUCUCCCCCAAGCUCUUGGGUGCCCACAGCUCCCAGCCACCAGGCCUGUCUCAGGGUAAGGACCCUGCUCCUGCAGACCACUCCUGAGGACUGCUUCAGGAGACCCCGCCUUGCUGCACAGAGGGGAAGCAGGCUCCUGGGGACAGAGCUAUACCCCUGCUGGAGCCUAGGAGGAGGACCGGCUGCUGGCUAUGUCCACCCUCGAGGACACACCCAUCACCCAGGGUCAGCAGACAUCUGCAUAGUUAUGUCCUGCCUAGUGACUGGGACACAUCUGAGUGGGGGGUCCUUAAGGGUUCACUCUGUGACGUCAUAGAGAACAUACACAAGCAGAGGCAGCAUCAGCAUCACAACCCUGUCAUCUUAGGGAUGCCUGUGCACCCCGUCCAUCCUUGCCAGGAACACCUUGGGGCUCAGGACUGCACCCAGCUGGGCGGACCCUAAUAAGCACAGGUCAGGAGCACAGAGCAGCUGCUCCAGGGAAGAGGAGGCUGAGUCAGGACAGGCUGCAGGGCACAGAAAUGUCCUCAGUGGGCAUCAGCCACCCUGCAUGAGGCUCUGUGGGCGACUGAGUGUGAAUGUGGCUUCCUGAAGUCAGCCUGGUCCUGGAUGUGGAGAGCAGGUCCUUGUGGAGAGGACACGGGCAGCAGGGAAUCACAUGCCAAAGCCAGGGCUCAGGACGGAGCAGGCCUGGCUGGAAUCGGGCCCAGAAGAGGAGCGAGUGCAGGGCUCCGGACAGAGAGCUGGACCCUUUCUCCACCAACCCCACCCUCUCUGCCUGACAGUAACCCAGGCCAGUGACUCCAGAGUGAAGGUGGCCAGCUUUCCUGUGUCCCUGGACCCCAGAUCUGCUCUGUGCUGCCUGAGUUGGGAAGGUGGGAUCCACAGGAAUCAAAAGGUUCCCAAUUCUAGAAUCCAGAGGAAGUGAAGAAUUAAUCUAGAUCCGUGUCUCCCAAUUUGUCUGCAGAGGACUCAAUUUCUGAAGGUGCCACUCAGGUGCUAUGCCCUCUCCCUGAAAACAAAGGGCCCAAAGAUCAAAGUCAUCUGUGAGAGUUGAAAAAGAUUUAAUCAACUUCUGUAUUGCAGGCAAAUUUUGCAAAUGAAGAAAAGGCAGAAAGAAGAGAGGGAAGUAAAGAAGGACAUGAGUAAAAGAGUGUUUUUGGCAAGAUAAGAUCUGUCUGGUAAGAAGUUGACCUGCCAGAAAGUAAAAAGAAAGAUGAGGAAAGGAGAUCCAAAGCCCUUCUCUGAUUUUUGUUACUACUGUUGAAGAUGUCUUAAGUACAAAAUCACUUGAUUACAGCUAUACUACAGAGGCAUUCUGAAUUUUGCCUUAAAAGUGAAAAGUUAAGUUGAUAUGUAAAUCUUUCUAUAUAACUGUGCUGCUGUUUGUUCGUGACUUCCUUGUAUGUCAAAUGCAUGUCACUCCCUAAGUGUACAAGCCUUCUAAAAUAUAGAAUUGAGGAAAAACACCUUGAUGUAUUGGUUCCCACCCCCAGGACC